rnacentral:lncRNA from 13 species
AAGGGAUAUGACCUCAGGGAAAGGGUGGGAGAGUGAAAAAUCUGUCCGUGCUCAAAGAGUCAUACUGACAUAAUUCGUCUAGUCCUCUGAUCCGGGUGAGGAAAAAUAAGUUGUAUGAUAUUUGACCAAGAUUUUGCCUAAAGGAGAUGAAUGACCCGGAUCCCUGUGGGGCUGGAGCGACCUGACACAGGAAGAGAUUGAGUGACAUUUCCCAAUGACUGGUGAAAGGAAAUACGGAGGGCUUGCUGAACCCAGAUCCCUGGUGGGGCUGGAGCGACCUGACACGGGAAGAGAUUGAGUGACAUUUCCCAAUGACUAAUGAAAGGAAAUACCGAGGGCUUGCUGAACCCAGAUCCCUGGUGGGGUUGGAGUGACCUGACAUGGGAAGAGAUUGAGUGACAUUUCCCAAUGACUAAUGAAAGGAAAUACGGAGGGCUUGCUGAACCCGGAUCCCCGGUGGGGCUGGAGUGAGCUGACACGGGAAGAGAUUGAGUGACAUUUCCCAAUGACUAAUGAAAGGAAAUACCGAGGGCUUGCUGAACCCAGAUCCCUGGUGGGGCUGGAGCGACCUGACACGGGAAGAGAUUGAGUGACAUUUCCCAAUGACUGGUGAAAGGAAAUACCGAGGGCUUGCUGAACCCGGAUCCCUGUGGGACUGGAGCGACCUGACACGGGAAGAGAUUGAGUGACAUUUCCCAAUGACUGGUGAAAGGAAAUACCGAGGGCUUGCUGAACCCGGAUCCCUGUGGGGCUGGAGUGACCUGACACGGGAAGAGAGAUUGAGUGACAUUUCCCAAUGACUAAUGAAAGGAAAUACGGAGGGCUUGCUGAACCCGGAUCCCUGUGGGACUGGAGCAACCUGACACGGGAAGAGAUUGAGUGACAUUUCCCAAUGACUGGUGAAAGGAAAUACCGAGGGCUUGCUGAACCCGGAUCCCUGGUGGGGCCGGAGUGACCUGACACGGGAAGAGAUUGAGUGACAUUUCCCAAUGACUAAUGAAAGGAAAUACGGAGGGCUUGCUGAACCCGGAUCCCCCGUGGGGAUGGAGUGACCUGACACGGGAAGAGAUUGAGUGACAUUUCCCAAUGACUAAUGAAAGGAAAUACCGAGGGCUUGCUGAACCCGGAUCCCCUGUGGGGCUGGAGCGACCUGACACGGGAAGAGAGAUUGAGUGACAUUUCCCAAUGACUGGUGAAAGGAAAUACAAAAAGCUUGCUGAACCCGGAUCCCCUGUGGGGCUGGAGCGACCUGACACGGGAAGAGAUUGAGUGACAUUUCUCACACUAGCCGCUAGGUUGGGUCAUUAACUGAGGACAUCUUGGUUGCCCUCUCAUUGUGCACACUAGAUUUCCCAUUCUACUCCCUUUUUGCUUGAGAAUUGGUGAUGUAAGGAUAAAAGACAGUCUCAGUAAAUCCAGACUAGUGGUUGUCGGGUCGGGGGAAGAAAUCAGACUAGUGGUUGUUGGGUCGGGGGAAGAAGGGAAUGGGGAGUGACUGCUAAUGGGUCCACAGUUUCCUUCUGGGGGUGAGAGGAAUGUUCUGGAGCUAAAUAGAGGGUACACACUGUAAAUGUACUACAUGCUAAAAUGUAUACUUAAAAUGGUCAAUUU